rnacentral:rRNA from 1 species
AUUGAACGCUGGCGGCAGGCCUAACACAUGCAAGUCGAGCGGAAACGAUCCUAGCUUGCUAGGAGGCGUCGAGCGGCGGACGGGUGAGUAACGCGUGAGAAUCUACCCAUGAGUGGGGGACAACCCGGGGAAACUCGGGCUAAUACCGCAUACGCCCUACGGGGUAAAGCAGGGGACCUUCGGGCCUUGCGCUGAUGGAUGAGCUCGCGUCGGAUUAGCUUGUUGGUGAGGUAAAGGCUCACCAAGGCGACGAUCCGUAGCUGGUCUGAGAGGAUGAUCAGCCACACCGGGACUGAGACACGGCCCGGACUCCUACGGGAGGCAGCAGUGGGGAAUCUUGGACAAUGGGGGCAACCCUGAUCCAGCCAUGCCGCGUGUGUGAAGAAGGCCUUCGGGUUGUAAGGCACUUUCAGCAGGGAGGAAGGCUUACCCCUAAUACGGGUGAGUACUUGACGUUACCUGCAGAAGAAGCACCGGCUAAUUUCGUG